rnacentral:rRNA from 1 species
UACGGAGGGGGCGAGCGUUAUUCGGAAUUAUUGGGCGUAAAGGGCGCGUAGGCGGCCUUGUAAGUCAAAGGUGAAAUCCCUCGGCUCAACUGAGGAACUGCCUUUGAAACUGCAAGGCUUGAGGCCGGGAGGGGGUAGCGGAAUUCCCAAUGUAGCGGUGAAAUGCGUAGAUAUUGGGAGGAACACCAGUGGCGAAGGCGGCUACCUGGACCGGUUCUGCCGCUGAGGCGCGAAAGCGUGGGUAGCAAACAGG